AAGUCGUAACAAGGUCUCCGUUGGUGAACCAGCGGAGGGAUCAUUACCGAGUUUACAACUCCCGAACCCUUUGUGAACAUACCAUCGUUGCUUCGGCGGGACCGCCCCGGCGCCUUCACUGCGCGCCGGAACCAGGCGCCCGCCGGGGGCCCGAAACUCUUGCCUUUUGAGCGUGGAAUUUCUCUGAGUGGCACACAAAAAAAAUGAAUCAAAACUUUCAACAACGGAUCUCUUGGUUCUGGCAUCGAUGAAGAACGCAGCGAAAUGCGAUAAGUAAUGUGAAUUGCAGAAUUCAGUGAAUCAUCGAAUCUUUGAACGCACAUUGCGCCCGCCGGCAUUCUGGCGGGCAUGCCUGUUCGAGCGUCAUUUCAACCCUCAGACCCCAGGGCCUCCCGGGGGACUGGCGUUGGGGACCGGCCCCGCCCCGUGCGGCGGCCGCCCCCGAAAUCCAGUGGCGGUCACGCCGCGGCUUCCUCUGCGUAGUAGCAAUCGCCUCGCAGUAUGGGACGCGGCGCGGCCACGCCCGAAAAGACGUACAUCUCGUGGUUGACCUCGGAUCAGGUAGGAGUACCCGCUGAACUUAA
rnacentral:rRNA from 1 species